GGAGGAUUUGGCGAAUUGGUACGCCAUCCCGUUUGAGGCGGGACAAGCCGAAAGGCUAUGGGAGUUCGAGUCUCUCAUCCUCCGCCA
rnacentral:tRNA from 1 species